rnacentral:tRNA from 1 species
GUGGGCAUAGCUCAGUGGUAGAGCACAUUCUUAGCAUGUAUGAGGUCCUGGGCUCAAUCCUCAGUACCUCCA